ensembl:snoRNA
AGCCUCAUUCUAGAUUAGAAUGGGUGCUGUCAGUUGGUGUCCCAAAUUGGUCAAUGUGUCUAAAAUUGAGACAUAGGUCGGGCUUCCAUCACAGUAAACCUACUGCUGUGGUGACAAUGAGACCUGUAACAUUU